rnacentral:rRNA from 1 species
CCUACGGGAGGCAGCAGUGGGGAAUAUUGCACAAUGGGGGAAACCCUGAUGCAGCGACGCCGCGUGAGUGAAGAAGUAAUUCGUUAUGUAAAGCUCUAUCAGCAGGGAAGAAAAUGACGGUACCUGAGUAAGAAGCCCCGGCUAACUACGUGCCAGCAGCCGCGGUAAUACGUAGGGGGCAAGCGUUAUCCGGAUUUACUGGGUGUAAAGGGAGCGUAGACGGCAGUGCAAGUCUGGAGUGAAAGGCGGGGGCUCAACCCCCGGACUGCUCUGGAAACUGUACGGCUGGAGUGCAGGAGAGGUAAGUGGAAUUCCUAGGGUAGCGGUGAAAUGCGUAGAUAUUAGGAGGAACACCGGUGGCGAAGGCGGCUUGCUGGACGGUAACUGACGUUGAGGCUCGAAAGCGUGGGGAGCAAACAGGAUUAGAUACCCGAGUAGUC